ACAUGGGUUAGUCGAUCCUAAGAGAUGGGGAAGCCCUGUAUCAAGGGUGCACUAUGCACGAACAUCGAAAGGGAAUCGAGUUAAUAUUCCCGAACCGGGACAUGGCGGUGGACGGCAACGUUAGGAAAUCCGGAGACGUCGUCGUGGGCCCCGGGAAGAGUUAUCUUUUCUUUUUAACAGCUUUCCCACCCUGAAAUCGGCUCAACCGGAGAUAGGAUCCAGUAGCUGGAAGAGCAUCGCACGUCUUGCGGUGUCCGGUGCGCCCUCGGCGGCCCUUGAAAAUAUGGAGGACCGAGUACCGUCCAUGCCCGGUCGUACUCAUAACCGCAUCAGGUCUCCAAGGUGAACA
rnacentral:ncRNA from 1 species